rnacentral:piRNA from 1 species
UGAAGCCUGAAGUGAAGUGAUGUUCACCCA